rfam:Gossypium hirsutum cultivar TM-1 chromosome 22, whole genome shotgun sequence
UAUUAAAAUUUUUAUCUAUUUGUACAGUUAAAAACUGGCGUGAUUGAUAGAACAACUAGAUAAUAACACGUGGCAUGCUAAGUAUACUGCAUGCUAAUGCACAAAAACUAAUUUUUAAUUGUAGAAAUGGAUGGAAUUUUUAACA